AUGGUGGUUCAAAAGGAGAUUGAUGAGUUUAUUAAUGAGGUGGCUAUCCUCUCACAAAUCAACCAUAGAAAUGUAGUAAAACUCUAUGGUUGCUGCCUUGAAACAGAAGUCCCAUUGUUGGUCUAUGAGUUUAUCUCCAACGGAACUCUGUAUGAUCAUCUUCACGUCGAAGGACCAAUUUCAUUGUCAUGGAAUGUUAGGCUACGGAUAGCAAUUGAAACAGCUAAAUCUCUAGCUUAUCUUCACUCAAUGGCUUUAAUACCUAUCAUCCAUAGAGAUGUCAAGUCUGCUAACAUACUUUUGAAUGAUAAUCUAGAAGCAAAGGUGGCAGACUUUGGAGCUUCAAGGUACAUUCCAUUGGACAAAUCAGGUUUAACUACAAUGGUUCAAGGCACACUAGGAUAUCUAGACCCUAUGUACUUCUACACUGGACGCCUCACGGACAAAAGUGAUGUUUAUAGCUUCGGUGUUAUGCUCAUAGAACUAAUGACUAGAAAGAGGCCAUUUUCCUAUAUGGCUUCAGGAGAUGGUCUAGUGGUUCAUUUUGCUACCUUGUUUGCAGAAGGCAAUUUGUUGCGGAUAUUAGAUCUGCAAGUUAUUAGCGAGGGUGGGAACACAAUUGAAGAAAUUGCUGAAAUUGCGGUAGCAUGUGUAAAGUUAAGAGGGGACGAACGCCCAACAAUGAGACAGGUGGAGCUGAGAUUGGAAGGUGUUCAGCCACUCGAGGAGCAUGUCGCAUUGGUGGUUGACGAAUCUGAGGUAAAUUGUGUUGCAACAAAUUAA
rnacentral:rRNA from 1 species